AUUGAACGCUGGCGGCAGGCUUAACACAUGCAAGUCGAGCGGAGACUUCGGUCUUAGCGGCGAACGGGUGAGUAAUACCUAGGAAUCUGCCCAUUAGCGGGGGACAACGUUUCGAAAGGAACGCUAAUACCGCAUACGCCCUACGGGGAAAGCAGGGGAGUCUUUUGUACCUUGCGACUAAUGGAUGAGCCUAGGCCGGAUUAGCUAGUUGGUAGGGUAAAGGCCUACCAAGGCGACGAUCUGUAGCUGGUCUGAGAGGAUGACCAGCCACACUGGAACUGAGACACGGUCCAGACUCCUACGGGAGGCAGCAGUGGGGAAUAUUGGACAAUGGGC
rnacentral:rRNA from 1 species